CCUUGGGCUGCUCUUUUGCCCCAGCUGAUCCCCUCGCUCCCCCCAGAGGCUGGAGGCCCAUCAGGGCAUCUCCCACCUCCGCGCCCUCCUGGGCCACUCCCGGGACCGUGGUCGUUCUUCCUGCGAAUCUCUUCGCCUUCCUCAACCAGGGGCUCAGGUGUCCCGCCCCCCCAUGCGUGUCCGACACAGCGAGGAGAACGAUGAGACUCCCUACAAUCUGGCCGUCUGCUUCGGCCCCGCGGCGGCCCCCCCGGCCUGGACCCCGUCUCCACCCAGCCCAUGCCACAGAGGCAGUGAAGUGCCUGAUCCUGCACCCCGUUAGGACCGCGCUUCCCGCCCCCCGGCGCCCUGCCGGCUCCCUCUACGAGUGGAGCGCGGCGCCGCCCCACGAAGCGACAGGUGAGACGGCUGUCCCGGACCCCGCAGCUGGAGGAGAGCGAGGGGGACGGUGCCCCCCGAGCAUCGGCCAGCGGGAGUGACCCAGAGGGCCCCC